rnacentral:rRNA from 1 species
AACACAUGCAAGUCGAGUGCGCGCCUGUAGGCAAUACAGGUGGCGCACGGCGCACGGGUGCGUAACACGUGGGUAAUCUGCCCUUCGAUGGGGAAUAACUCCGGGAAACCGAAGCUAAUUCCGCAUAACAUUCCUUGAACUUCGGUUUGGGGACUCAAAGCCGUAAGGCGUCGGAGGAGGAACCCGCGCACGAUUAGCUAGUUGGUAGGGUAACGGCCUACCAAGGCUUUGAUCGUUAGCUGGUCUGAGAGGAUGGCCAGCCACACUGGAACUGAGACACGGUCCAGACUCCUACGGGAGGCAGCAGUGGGGAAUCUUGCACAAUGGGCGAAAGCCUGAUGCAGCGACGCCGCGUGGGGGAUGAAGCUUUUCGGAGUGUAAACCCCUUUCGACCCGGNNGAAUGCCCCGCAAGGGGACUGACGGUACGGGUAUAAGAAGCC